rnacentral:rRNA from 1 species
UACGUAGGGGGCAAGCGUUGUCCGGAUUUAUUGGGCGUAAAGAGCGUGUAGGCGGCCAGGUAGGUCAGCUGUGAAAACUCGAGGCUCAACCUCGAGAUGUCGGCUGAAACCAUCUGGCUAGAGUCCGGAAGAGGAGAAUGGAAUUCCCGGUGUAGCGGUGAAAUGCGUAGAGAUCGGGAGGAACAUCAGUGGCGAAGGCGGCCAUCUGGGACAACACUGACGCUGAAGCACGAAAGCGUGGGGAGCAAACAGG